rnacentral:lncRNA from 1 species
GGCAUUGCCACAGCUACAGUAUAGAUUGAAACCGAGGCUCCAAUCCGAUCCCUGACCUGGGAACCCCAUAGGCUGAGAGGCAGCCAAAAAGAAAAGAAAAGAAAAAUGUCAGCAACAAAACUGUCCCACGUUUGUCUGGCUCUAGCACAUGCUGUGUUUCAUUUGACCUUAACCAGAACACCAGUGAAGGUCAUUGUUAGUCCCAUGGUACAAAAGGGGAAAAGUAAGAUGUUGAGAGGAACAGUCACAUGACAGGAUACACAACGAGAUAUAGAAGCAUGAGAGGGAAGAGGCAGAACAUAAACUCAAACUCUAAACCAAGGUUCAUUCCUUCGGUCUCAUUACAGCAACUUCACGUCUAUAAGCAUCCUCUGCUUUCUGACCAUGGACCUUUUUCACUUGGUACUGUUCAAACAGCCAAUUCAUGAGAAAGUUUCAACUUUUGCCUGAACCCCAGCAAUGAGUUGUCCCCUUCUUGACGGCAGUGCACAGCCUUGCCCACCUAGCACACAAAAUGCUUUCUUUUCUAGUCCAGAAGAACAAAGACACCAGGAAAGAGGCAGGCACUGCCCACCCCAGUCAGAGCGCUUCUGUGAACAGGCUGUACAGCUCACUUUGCUCUGCCUUAGUUUUAUCAUCUCCAAAUGGGAACUCCAGCCCUUAACCAUCUCAUCGGGUUGUUGCGAAGACAAACUGAGAUAACAUAUGUAAAGCAUUCUGUAAACGUUACAAGCGCUGUACAAAUUUAGGCAUCAUUAUUACAAAGGCAAUAAAAGAAUUGAUCACACUGAUAAAUGGCAAGCAUGUUUUCGUGCCUGCGUAGUUUCCAAGAACGGCAGUAAUUGCACUUGGCAGAUAAAUCGGUGGCAGUUAACCAAGGCCCAGUGGAUUGGAGAAAGGCACAACUUGGCCAAAUCCAAAUGAUUUUAAAGACUCUAUAAAAAUAAACACGUAUUCCAAUAUAAUUAAUUCCAGUUCUGUCAAUCCUUCCUGCUACUUGGAGCAAUGUGGCUUGUUAUGAAGCAAUUAUCCUUUGAAUCCUUUUAAUCCCUGCUGACCAUUUUCAGCUUUAAUUGUCUUGCUGGGUUUGAAUGUUGUUAUAGUUCAAAUGCAGCCAAUUAGCACAGGCCGGGCCAUCUCGUGAUGAUUCUCGUGCAAAGAACACGCCUUGAAAUCCCUGGUGGACUUUGUUCCAGUUUAUCCUUGCAGUCACAGCUCAUGCCUUCAGGUGCUGUUUGGAGGAGGAAGGGCCAGCAGAGGCUCAGAGCAAGCACCAAAAGCAGUCAGCCAUGUUCACCAGGGCUCAACAAAAAUGUAAAACAUCCUUAUAACACUGGUGUCCCGGGAUAUCUGGGUAGGACGCAAGCCCUGGUCACUGGAGAUGUUUAAACAGAUGGCGCAGGAAGGUGAUGAGCAUCUGGAUGGGGGUGUGGAGAGGCAGGAAGGUGACCUUCAUGAUCACAAAGAUUUCUUCCUCCCCUUAGGGCCCAGGAUCCAAUGUGAUUUGGCAAAUGAGAAAACCGGCAUGGUGGAGAAAAACGGCGGAAGAGUGGAAGACUGUCAGCUUUGGAUCCAGGAUGUAUAAGCUCGAGUCCUAGUUCUGCCAUCCAACCAACUGAAAACUGUAAGAUUCAGAGCAAGAAGUACGUCUCUUCGGGGCUUGUUCUCUUAUGAUGGGAACAAUUAGUAUUUCACCUCUCGGUGCCUCUGUGGCCCCAUAUGAAAAGCGAUGCUAAUAGAAGCAUUCACUUCCUAAAGCUGUUCUGAAUAUUAAAUGAGUGAGCAUAUGUAAUACAUUUAGCACAGUUUCUGCCACAUAAACGCCCAGUCCUUAAGCCAUGUCACCACCAUCAUCUUUAUUCUCUUUCAGUGGCAUUAUAACUGCUAUUUCUACUUCCUGCCUAGCCCCCAGCCCCCUGCCCUUCUGCCUCUAUCCUCCACAGUGCUGCUGGAUGCUCUCUCUAAAUAUAAGUCCAAUCCUUUCCUUCAUUUAUUUUUUGUUUGUUUGUUGGGGUAGGGGGUGGGGGAUGGCCAAACCUAUGGCAUGUGGAAGUUCCCAAGCCAGGGAUCACACCUGCACCACAGCAGUGACCCAAACCACAGUAGUGACAAUGCUGGGUCCUUUACCUACUGAGCCACCAGGGAACUCCCUGUUCUUCAUUUAAAUAAAACCCUUCUGUUGUUCUCCAGCACCUAUAAGAUAAAGCCCAUGUUUCUCAACCCAGUGAGAAACACCCUUCAGAGCCAGUUCCGGGGAUCUCUCUGACAUCAUUGUUCCUUCCCCCCCUUCCUCCUGCCUCCCUUGCAGCUUUUCUUCCAAACCACUCACUGUUCUCCAGGUCCCCACUUCCUGACCCACAGUAAGUAGUUAUUAUGUGUUAACUAUCUGGUUUUUAAGUCAAUGAUCUUAGCAUAUCCGAGAUACUUAUGGCAGGAGUUUAAAAUCUUGGGAGAAGUAUGAGUCUAAAUCUCAAUUUUGCUGUGUAGCAUGGAGAAAGUGUCUUAACCACUCUGUGCCUCCAUUUCCUCAUUAGUAACAGAUGGGAACAAUAAUUCCUUGUUGUAGAUUAAUGUUGAAGAAUAUAUGGGAUAACCUGUGUAUUGAAUCUGCCACAAUACUUGGCACACAGUGGGAGCUGUGGAACUAUUUGCUUUCCGCCUUUCAAUCUAAAUUGAUCCUUGAGCCAAUAAGCAGGGCAUCAUCAGCAAAGACCCAAACGCCCAGAGUAGUUGUCAUCCGGCAACAGAUUUAGCUGUAAAAAUAUUCAAUGGUCAAUGACUGACACAGGCCCAGUGCUUGUUACUGGGGACACAGAUGAGGAGCAUAGACAGUGAUGGGGAAGCUGAGUCUCACUUGAAAGACCUCAAACCAGACCUGCAGGAAUUCACCUAGUGAGGCCAGUUAUAAAGCAAAGGGGGAAGGUUGCUCACCAGAGGUUCUGAAAGGGCCUAAGUUUGAGAGUCUCAUCCUUCCCCAAAAUGGGGAGAAUUAGUCAGGCUUGUCCUUCCCCUCAUUAAAAGGCAACCAAGGGAUUCCCUUGUGGUGCAGUGGGUGAAAGAACCAGCAUUGUCACUGCAGUGGCUUGGGUCGCUGCUGUGGCAGAGGUUCAACCCUCAACCCCCAGCUGGGGAACUUCCGUAUGCUGUGUGUGCAGCCUCCCCCCACCCCCCCAAAAAAGGCAGUCAAAAAUGAGUGAACACUUAUAUGUGGAAUCUAAAAUAUGCCACAAAUGAACCUAUCUACAAAACAGAAACAGACUCACAGACACUAAUAACAGACUUGUGGUUGCCAAGGGGGAGGAAGGAGUGGGAUGGACUGGAAAUUUGGGGUUAGUAGGUGCAAACUAGUACAUUUAGAAUGGAUAAGGAAUGAGGUCCUACUGCAUAGCACGGGGAACUAUAUCCAAUCUCCUGGAAUAGACCCUGAUGGGUGAGAAUGUACAUAUACGCUGUAUAUGAUCAUGUGUGACUGGGUCACUUUGCUGUACAGCAGAAAUCCGCACAACACUGUAAAUCAAAUACACUUUAAUAAAAAAAUGGAAAGAACAGACAGUAAUCACCAUCUUAUAUAACCUCAUCCUGUUCAAGACAUCUCACUCCUGCCACACGCUGCACAUUAGAAGCAAGUUACCGGGUUCAGCUCACACCCAUGGGAGAGGAUUUUCCAGGGCUUGAAGGAAUAAGUGAACAACAUGGAGUUCCCGUCGUGGCGCAUGGAAAUGAAUCCGACUAGGAACCAUGAGGUUGCGGGUUCAAUCCCUGCCCUUGCUCAGUGGGUUAACGAUCCGGCAUUGCCGUGAGCUGUGGUGUAGGUUGCAGACGCGGCUCAGAUCCCCGUGUUGCUGUGGCUCUGGCAUAGACCGGUGGCUACAGCUCCGAUUGGACCCCUAGCCUGGGAAUCUCCAUAUGCCGCAGGAGCGGCCCAAGAAAUAGCAAAAAGACCAAAAAAAAUAAUAAUAAUAAUAAGUGAACAACAUGAGUGACCACUUCAGGGACUCCUGAUGAGUGGAGAAAUCCAAGCCACAUUGACAAAGACCAUACUUUAAGGUUUCACCCUACAUGCCCCCCUACCCAGCUGUAUUAUCUGGACUAUAUAGAGCAAAAGUAUAAAAAGUCUACUUUUCUCAGACUUUGGGGAUCACUCCAGGCUGGUGGAGUCUAAGGGUCUUCUGGGCCCAUCAUCACUUCCAAACCCACCCUCGCCAUCAGAUCCACCCACUGCUCCACCAUCUUCCAGAUCCUUCCCUCCCACUGUAUUUUGGGUGGACUUAUUCCCCCUUCAAGGCUGAUUUUCUUGGUGGUGGUGUUUUUAUUUUCUAUUGGAGCACAGUUGACUUACAAUGUCACAUUAAUUUCAAGUGCAUGGCAAAGUGAUUCAGUUAUAUAUAUACAUAUAGCCAUUCUUUUUCAGAUUCUCUUCCCAUAUAGGUCAUUACCAAGUAUUACGUAGAGUUCCCUGCACUAUACCAAGGUUGAUCUUGAUAUACAUUUUGACUGUAUUUCACCUGCUAUAAACAUCGCAGGGGAAAGAAUGACACAUGACUAUCUUGUCCACAUUAUUACACCCCUCAACGAUUACCUGGACUCCCCUACCUUUUCCUGAGAAGAGCCUGGGAUUGGAGAAAUGAAGGGAGGACAGAGUAGAGAGUUAGAAAGAAGAAGGGAAGACAAGAAACGGGUGAAGGAGGGAGGAAGAAAAGUGAGGGGGGAAGAAGUGAUCAGAUUUUGACUCUGAGGAAAGACUUCCACAUGCAUGUGUCUCACUGGAAGCUCUUUGAAGUGGAAGCUCUAGCAAUAUUAUUCGACUUUUACAAACAACAGCAUAUAUUCAUCGAAUAAAAUAAAUAUGUGUGGAGUACCUGCUGUGGUGCAACAGAAAUGAAUCCG